UUAAGCUUUACCAGUUUGAAAAUAGAGAUAUCUGUUUGAACAAAGAGGGAACAAAGGGUUCACUGCGGGGAGAAGCUUCCCUGCACCCAGCAAACAUGGAGCAAAGCUGAUAGGAACAUUUCAAAGAUGGCCAUGAAGACUUAUCUCAGUGAAGCCCCUCAGAAGUCCAGCAUGUUGUCUUUUCAAGCCUCAAUGAUUUUAUGAUUCUAAAAUGAACCUCUGAGAGGGCAAGGAGACCAGCUCCCCCGCAGCCCAGCACCUUCAAGAGUCUGCCCCAGCCAGAGCUUGUGCUUAUUCUGAGUUUGUUCCAAACAGCAGCUGAGGAGAGAAGCGGAGACACAUCUGACCAAAAAAUCAAGGAUGGAAAGUUCAGAGAAUGCAACGAAGACAGAGGUCCCUUGUAAAAUGAGAGCAGGAAAAACUGCUAACAGAAACAAGUCCAUCAUCAGUGUGGAGCCACCACUCCCCUUUCCAGUGGAGUCUACUUCAGCUCUGAAGCUGGGACUGCCAACGUUACCGUGGAAACCCCCAAAAAUAAAGACUUUCCCAGCCUUGUGAGAGCACACCUGCAAGAGCAAGAAUGACAGUUAGCCUUUUGCCUGUCAAAAGCAAAUCUCCUUCAUUCUUGAUGUCACCUGAGGACAUUUUUUACCCUCGAAAGCAGUUAAGAUGGUCGGAUUGACUUCAGACAAUCUGGCAAUAUGACUGGAGCUGCCUGUUGUACACAUGACAAGCUUUCAGAGAAGAAGCCUGGUGGUUAUGAGAGGAGAAUCCCACAGAACUGCACAGGUACUGCCAGCAGGAGUGGUCAUUCACACAGGACAGCUCACUGCCACUGCUAACAAAAUCCCCAGCCCAGUCACUUGUGAAUCACUUCUGGCUGAACUUAGCAGCUUUAAGUAUGAUCAAAGUCAAGAAUAUUUGCAGUCAGUAGGAUUUCUGUACAUCACAAGGGAAACAUUUUGCUAAUAAAUGCUGAUUCAAAUGUUGUACGUUCCCACUGCUUCAGUUCUUGCUCUUGGCUAAGCAGAUGAAUGACUAUUUAGUGUUGCUACAGAGCUGUCAGACAGCAGUUGUGUUUCAGCAUUAGUUGGGGGGCAUUCCUAUGCAUGCAUUAGUGCUCAAAAUGACCGUUAAGAAUUUUGUUGUAUGUGUUCACAGAUACUCUUUAAGGUGGAUUGAUGUUGCAGAUGGGAGUAAGAGUUGAAUGCUCCCAUGAAGGUGGGUGGGAGCCCCGUUGGAAAUCAGAUUAAACUGGACUAACCUUACCAGUGUUCUGAGUUAUUCAGUGGCAAAUCCCAUGGAAACUGCACAUAGAUGAAAUGCCUGGGAAUUAUGAUUUUCAGGGUCAAUUUUUUGGGUAAUGAAGUAAAGAAAUGAAAUUAAUUGUAGAGGAAAUUGUAAACUGGCAUAGAUUUCAGUUCUGUUAUCAUAAAAUUAUUCCUGAUCCUUUGGCUGGAUGCUCUGUGUGAGCUGCCAUUCCUCCUCCUAGUGUUAAAAUCACCUCUUUUGUUUGUGCAUGCUUUUUGGAAGUGAUGAGACUGAAACAGCAUUAUACCACUUCAACUCAAUAGGGAAUGAUUGCAACUGAAAAGCAUUUAUUUAUUUGGUGUGAAUCAUUCCGUAUUGCAUUUCAGUUCCAUUCUGAAGGGGAGCUUUGUUUGUCUUUUAAAGGCUUACUUAAACAUAAGAGGAAAGGAGAACCAGUCCCUGGCACAUUUAUUUUGCUAACACUGCUGACGCAUACCUCACUUCAUAGAGCUGACGUCUUACUAAAGGACAUCCAGGACAGUUUCAGCUAUUCCAGUGUUUAUUUUUACUACACCAAGUCUUUGCCGUUGGUUAUCAGGAUGUUCGUCAGUGAGAAAGAGAGAUAAUACUGAGAUGCUAGCAUUAAAGAGAAGGCUACAAAUAAAGAUGGUGGGGUUUGCUGUAAAUGUCAGUGUUUAUUGGUUCUACCUUGCUAGAUGAGCUAGAUGUUGAAUAGGUUGGUCUAAAAAACUAAGCUGACGUUCUAUGGAGAAAGUUGCCUCUUGAAGAUUGAUGUGUUAUGAAGAGGAUAAGAAUAUUAUGGCAAAAUCCAAGCUAGAGACAAGGAUACGCCCUAUUCCACUUAGUUUAUUCUAGU